rnacentral:rRNA from 1 species
GACGAACCGUGCGAACGUUGUUCGGAAUCACUGGGCUUAAAGGGCGCGUAGGCGGUUGAUCAAGUCUGGGGUGAAAUCUUUCGGCUUAACCGGAAAAGUGCCUUGGAUACUGGUCAGCUGGAGGGAGGUAGGGGCAGUUGGAACUUCCAGUGGAGCGGUGAAAUGCGUUGAUAUUGGAAGGAACGCCGGAGGCGAAAGCGGCGCACUGGAUCUCUUCUGACGCUGAGGCGCGAAAGCUAGGGGAGCAAACGGG